UCAGGAGGCUGAGGCAGGAGAACUGCUUGAACUCGGGAAGCAGAGGUUGCAGUGAGCCAAGAUCAUGCCAUUGCACUCAAGCCUGGGCAACAAGAGCGAAACUCCAUCUCAAAAAAAAAAAAAAAAAUUUAAUUUUAGCAACAGCCAUAUGAGGUCCAUUUUCCCCCCAGGAUCAAUUCACAAUGAUGUUCAUCUGCUGCUGAGUGGCUUUUAGAACUUUUACAGACUCCAGAGUCAUCAAGGCUCACACCCUAAAUGCCUGCUGAGUGGCAGAUCCUGUGGAGAAUAUAGCCCCUGCCUGCAAGGAGGCUAGGUUCUAGUAGUAGAGUUAAGAUGUAUACGUAAGUGGCAAUCAUGGGAACUUGAAUCUGUAGUCUAAUCUUAAACUGAUCGUAAGGAAUGAGAGACUUCAAACAAAACCAUGAGGGAUGAAGAGGGAAGCCUUGCCAAGUUCUCUGCUCCAAUUAUAAAUAUGCUCUAGAAUUUCUAGUGAAGAUUUUUCAUUGCACACCUCUUGAAACUCUUGGAUCCUGCCUGCAAUCCUAUACCAGAGAACCUUCUUGUCCUUGAAAUCCAGUGCCCAGAAAGUGAAUCCAGGACUCAGAGAACAAUGCCAAGACUGACCCUGUGAAUCCCAGGUGCUAAUCUGUCCAUACCAAAUGAGAAAAAUUAGGAUAAGGGAGUGAGAUUUUGAUAAAACUCAUUCCACUUAAAUAGUGCUGUUUACCUUGAAAAAUAUUUCAUCCUCCUUGCUUGGUGUUAAGAAGUCCUUUUAUGAAGUUAUGUCAGUGGUAGGUGGUUGGAUGGUUGGUCAUUAUGAUGAUGUAUGUAUCUUGACAUACAUUAUGACUUUAAUGUUCCUACUUGGCAAGGUCAAAGUUGAUCAUAUUGAUUUUAUUUUUUUAAAUAUUUUUGAGAUGGAGUCUCCCUCUGUCACCCAGGCUGAAGUGCAAUGGCUCAGUCUCAGUUCACCGCAA
rnacentral:lncRNA from 1 species